rnacentral:lncRNA from 10 species
GGCACACUAAUAUGCUGUUGGAAACUGGCUAUAUGGAAAGGCUAUGUGGAAGAAAACAAACACCCCAGCCAACAUAAUGGAGCUCCCAGCUGACAGCUGACAUCUAGCUGAUUGCCAACCACUUUGGAAACUGAUCUUCAAAACCCACUUGAGCUAUGUCAAGAGAAGCCACCUGUGACACAGAUCAUUCGUAACUGAGGCACACUUGCCUUUUGCAACUAAGCUCUACUGAAUUCCAAAGCUAUAGAAAUAUCCAUCUUGACCUGGAAAGUCUGUUUCUUUGCUAGUCCAGAAGGUUUUUUUUAACAUGAACAAGAUCCUCUCAAGCACUGUUUGCUUUGGACUCCUAACUUUGUUAUCCGUGUUGAGUUUUUUACAAUCUGUGCAUGGACGACCAUAUCUUACCCAAGGAAAUGAAAUAUUUCCAGAUAAAAAAUAUACAAAUCGUGAGGAACUAUUGCUGGCUCUACUGAAUAAAAAUUUUGAUUUCCAAAGACCUUUCAACACUGGAAACAGUUGGAGUACAGAUGAUGAAUGAAAAAUUUAGGCUACACC